rnacentral:rRNA from 1 species
GAUCAUGGCUCAGGAUGAACGCUAGCUACAGGCUUAACACAUGCAAGUCGAGGGGCAGCAUGGUCUUAGCUUGCUAAGGCCGAUGGCGACCGGCGCACGGGUGAGUAACGCGUAUCCAACCUGCCUUACACUCUUGAACAGCCUUCUGAAAGGGGGAUUAAUACAAGAUGUUAUCAUGAGUAAGCAUUUUCGCAUGAUUAAAGGUUUACCGGUGUAAGAUGGGGAUGCGUUCCA